UACGAAGGGUGCAAACGUUGCUCGGAAUCAUUGGGCGUAAAGAGCGUGUAGGCGGUCCGGUAAGUCCGCUGUGAAAGCCCAGGGCUCAACCUUGGAACUGCCUUUGAUACUGGCUAUCUUGAGUUUGGGAGAGGUGUGUGGAACUCCGAGUGUAGAGGUGAAAUUCGUAGAUAUUCGGAAGAACACCAGUGGCGAAGGCGACACACUGGCCCAAUACUGACGCUGAGGCUCGAAAGCGUGGGGAGCAAACAGG
rnacentral:rRNA from 1 species